rnacentral:rRNA from 1 species
UACGGAGGGAGCUAGCGUUGUUCGGAAUUACUGGGCGUAAAGCGCGCGUAGGCGGCUUUGUAAGUUAGAGGUGAAAGCCCGGGGCUCAACCCCGGAACUGCCUUUAAAACUGCAUCGCUUGAAUCCGGGAGAGGUGAGUGGAAUUCCGAGUGUAGAGGUGAAAUUCGUAGAUAUUCGGAAGAACACCAGUGGCGAAGGCGGCCCACUGGACCGGCAUUGACGCUGAUGUGCGAAAGCGUGGGGAGCAAACAGG